rnacentral:rRNA from 1 species
UAGUCACUCAGGUUUGAGGAUUGACUUUAUGUCUCUCUUUACAUUUCCAGGCCUAUGUUUCUUUAUAUACCCCAAUGUAUGUCAUAGAAUGUAACCAAUGGGCCUUUGUGCCUAUAAACCUAUACAACUUUCAGCAACGGAUCUCUUGGCUCUCGCAUCGAUGAAGAACGCAGCGAAAUGCGAUAAGUAAUGUGAAUUGCAGAAUUCAGUGAAUCAUCGAAUCUUUGAACGCACCUUGCGCUCCUUGGUAUUCCGAGGAGCAUGCCUGUUUGAGUGUCAUUAAUAUAUCAACCUCUUCAACUUUUGUUUGUCGAGUGUUGGAUUUGGGGGUCCUUUUUGCUGGUCUUCUAAAGGUCAGCUCCCCUGAAAUGCAUUAGCAGAACAAUUUGUGGAUCGUUCAUUGGUGUGAUAACUAUCUACGCUAUUGACGUGAAACAAGUUCAGCUUCUAACAGUCCAUUGACUUGGACAAAUUUUCAUUAAUGUGACCUCAAAUC